UACGAAGGGGGCUAGCGUUGUUCGGAAUCACUGGGCGUAAAGCGCAUGUAGGCGGCUCUUUAAGUCAGGGGUGAAAUCCCGAGGCUCAACCUCGGAACUGCCUUUGAUACUGGGGAUCUCGAGUCCGGGAGAGGUGAGUGGAACUGCGAGUGUAGAGGUGAAAUUCGUAGAUAUUCGCAAGAACACCAGUGGCGAAGGCGGCUCACUGGCCCGGAACUGACGCUGAGGUGCGAAAGCGUGGGGAGCAAACAGG
rnacentral:rRNA from 1 species